rnacentral:rRNA from 1 species
AACGAACGCUGGCGGCGCGCCUAAUACAUGCAAGUCGAGCGAGAAGACGUAGCAAUACGUUUGUAAAGCGGCGAACGGGUGAGGAAUACAUGGGUAACCUACCCUCGAGUGGGGAAUAACUAGCCGAAAGGUUAGCUAAUACCGCGUACGCUCCUUGGACUUCGGUUCAGGGAGGAAAGCGAUACCGUGGGUAUCGCGCUCUUGGAUGGGCUCAUGUCCUAUCAGCUUGUUGGUGAGGUAACGGCUCACCAAGGCUUCGACGGGUAGCUGGUCUGAGAGGACGAUCAGCCACACUGGCACUGCGACACGGGCCAGACUCCUACGGGAGGCAGCAGUAAGGAAUAUUGCGCAAUGGGCGAAAGCCUGACGCAGCGACGCCGCGUGGGGGGAUGAAGGUCUUCGGAUUG